rnacentral:lncRNA from 1 species
GAUGAUGUCGCUACCUGUUUGCUUUCUUUUGCUGUCCUCUGGCCGUGAUGACAAUUGUCCAUGGGGGUUCCUGACCCCAAGCAUCUCCCCCUAGCUGGGAGACGGAUGGAUCUGUUCUGAGCCGUGCUAUGUAUCUGUCGCUACAAUUGCUACAGAAUGAGCCUGCGUAUGAGACGCAUAUGCUAUAUUGCCUCGUGUUUGUUUAUCAUGUCCAUAGUUUAGCACUGUUGCUUUGCCCAUGAUGAAGCCUGCCAACUUGUUACUGCUGUGGUGUAGCCAGGUUCCUGCCCUGCAGGAGUGAACCUACCUGGUGAAGUCACGCAGUCUGGGGCAGCCCAUGUUCUUGGGCGCCACAGGUGGCAAUGCG